GCCAUAUUGCCUUGCAUUACUACUUUACUACCCAAAAGGUUGUCAGUCUAUUGGUAUGAGGCUGUAUACAUGCGCGUUGAACUAGCGCCAAACUUUUUACCGAAACUUUGAUAUUAAGAGCACUAUUAACGUUCAUUUGUGUUGCAUUUUGACCUAUUAUCCAAGUGAUUUACUUUUCCAUUAUUAUUUAAUCACCCUAUCAUCCAAUUUUUAAGAUGAAAUUACGGUGUUUACAAAACCAACCAAACCGAAAGUGAAACUGGAUGCAUUACGUUUCGCGAUGUAAACAUUAAAUAUUUGUUCAGUUUGAGGAAGCGAAUCGAUAAAAGACGUUGGAAUAUGUAUGCAAUACAGACUAUCAUUGCCGAUUGUAGUACUGGCUAAAAAAUACCUUUUAUGACAGGUAUACUGGAUUAUGAAAGACUGAUAAACAUAAAAUUGACAACUCAUCUCCCCAACGAUACUUUGUGUGGCUCAUUCUCAGAACAAACCCAUAGUCAGUGAGAAAACUACAGUGUAAAAAGACCACUUGAUUGUGACAAUUAUGGCUGACCAAGCAAAUGUUAUCAUUUAAAAUAAAGAAAACUUCCAGUUCAAUAUACAUUUUAUACCAAUUAUGACAUUGGCCAACACAGAAAAUAAUUAUAAGCUUGAUUUUUCCAAAAUUUGUUACAAUUGGAUACUGUUUUAAGCUUCACUCUACUUUGUCUGAAAAUAAAAGUCCUAAAUGAUGUAAUAGAAACAUACAUAUUUAAUUUUUAGUUUUACAAGGAUAUAUUUAUACAUACAUAUAUUAUAAUAUCUUUUUAUCGAUGGUCAAUCAAUUUAAGUUUAACUAAUAUAUACAUACACAUUUUAUACACGUGUUUGCUUUGAUUUUUAACCAGGUUUUCCGAAGGAAAAAACUGGUUAUUAGAUUGGCGAAUGCGGGCGGGCUGGCUGGCUGGCUGGCUGGCGGGCUGGCUGGCGGGCUGGCGGGCUGGCGGAAUAAGCUUGUCCGGGCCAUAACUAUGUCGUUCAUUGUCAGAUUUUAAAAUCAUUUGGCACAUUUGUUCACCAUCAUUGGACGGUGUGUCGCGCGAAAUAAUUACGUCGAUAUCUCCAAGGUCAAGGUCACACUUUGAGUUCAAAGGUCAAAAAUGGCCAUAAAUGAGCUUGUCCGAGCCAUAACUAUGUUGUUCAUCGUCAGAUUUUAAAAUCAUUUGGCACAUUUGUUCACCAUCAUUGGACGGUGUGUCGCGCGAAAUAAUUACGUCGAUAUCUCCAAGGUCAAUGUCACACUUUGAGUUCAAAGGUCAAAAAUGGCCAUAAAUGAGCUUGUCCUGGCCAUAACUAUGUCAUUCAUUGUGAGAUUUUAAAAUCAUUUGGCACAUUUGUUCACCAUCAUGGGACGGUGUGUCCCACGAAAGAAUCACGUCAAUAUCUCCAAUGUCAAGGUCGCCACGACUAAAAAUAGAUUAAAAAAAAAAAAAAUUACAAAGGGGGUUAAUUUUUUUUGGUCAUUUCAAAAGUUCAGUUUGAGUUUUCUCCCUUUAUCAGAUUUUUUUUUCACAAUGAAAACCUGGUUUUGUGACAAUUUUGUCCCUUGUUUUCUAUUGAAGCCAAAUUAAUAUCCCAUUAGAUAGAUAGAUAAUAUCACAGCAGUAUUCCUAGUUUGUCUGCAAGUACUGCAGAAAUCAUGGAUUAUUAUUUUACUGAGUCAGCCUUAAUCUUUAUAUUAUAAUUGUUAAAACAGAUUAAGAUGUGCAUUAUACAAUUGAGGAUGCAUCAAGAUUAAAAAAUGGUACAUGUAUAAAUUAAUAAAGAAUCAAUAACAAUCAGAAACUGUGCAUUUUUUUCAGUAUUGUGUGAAAGGAUUUGAAGUAAUGAUGUGUUUUUGAAAUAUGAUUUAUGUGAAUUUGAAUAAAUAUAUAAAAUUUAGUGAUUUUCUCAGACAAAAACUGUUAAUUACAUACUAAAGUAUUCAGAAUGUAUUAUUGUAAUAUUCAUUCGAUUU